UUGCCCAGCACCACCUCCUUCUCCUUCAGGCAGCAACCAAGCACCCUCAGCACAUCCUGUCAGCUGAAACAAGAUGAAUGCAUGCGGGCGAACAAAUAUGGGAAAGAAGGGCCUGAAUGGAUGCGCAAUGGGAUUCUUCUGCAAAACAAAUACCAGGAACUAAGGCCCCCACCCAGGAGGAGGGUGGUAACUACAUGCUGAGACCCCAGACUGGCUGGAACCAGAAGGCUGAUGAUUGAGAUUCCUGGAACACUGCCCUGUUACCUCACCACCAGCCAAUCAGAAGAAAGUCACACACCCUGCAGCCCUCACCCCAAAUGUUGCCUUUAAAAACCCUUCCCUGAAAACCAUAGGGGAGUUUGGGUCUUCUGAGCAGAAGCUGCUCAUUCUCCUUGUUUGGC